AUAUCGAGAAUAAAGCUGAAAUACUAAUUAGAGAAUAAAGUUCAAAUGUCGAGAAUAAGGUUGAAAUUCUGUUUUGAGAAUAAAGUUGAAAUGUUGAGAAUAAAGUUGAAAUACUGUUUCAAGAAUAUAGUCAAAAUGUCGAGAAUAAAGCUGAAAUAAUAAUUAGAGAAUAAAGUUGAAAUGUUGAGAAUAAGGUUGAAAUUCUAUCUCAAGAAUAAAGUUGAAAUGUUGAGAAUGAAGUUAAAAUGGUGAGAACAAAGUUGAAAUACUAUUUCAAGAAUAUAGUCAAAAUGUCAAGAAUAAAGC